UGUGAAUACAUAGCAUAUCAGAAGGCACACCCGGAGAACUGAAACAUCUUAGUACCCGGAGGAAGAAAAAGAAAAUUCGAUUCCCUUAGUAGCGGCGAGCGAAACGGGAAGAGCCCAAACCAACAAGCUUGCUUGUUGGGGUUGUAGGACACUCUAUACGGAGUUACAAAGGACGACAUUAGACGAAUCAUCUGGAAAGAUGAAUCAAAGAAGGUAAUAAUCCUGUAGUCGAAAAUGUUGUCUCUCUUGAGUGGAUCCUGAGUACGACGGAACACGUGAAAUUCCGUCGGAAUCUGGGAGGACCAUCUCCUAAGGCUAAAUACUCUCUAGUGACCGAUAGUGAACCAGUACCGUGAGGGAAAGGUGAAAAGCACCCCGGAAGGGGAGUGAAAUAGAACCUGAAACCGUGUGCUUACAAGUAGUCAGAGCCCGUUAAUGGGUGAUGGCGUGCCUUUUGUAGAAUGAACCGGCGAGUUACGAUUUGAUGCAAGGUUAAGCAGUAAAUGUGGAGCCGUAGCGAAAGCGAGUCUGAAUAGGGCGUUUAGUAUUUGGUCGUAGACCCGAAACCAGGUGAUCUACCCUUGGUCAGGUUGAAGUUCAGGUAACACUGAAUGGAGGACCGAACCGACUUACGUUGAAAAGUGAGCGGAUGAACUGAGGGUAGCGGAGAAAUUCCAAUCGAACCUGGAGAUAGCUGGUUCUCUCCGAAAUAGCUUUAGGGCUAGCCUCAAGUGAUGAUUAUUGGAGGUAGAGCACUGUUUGGACGAGGGGCCCCUCUCGGGUUACCGAAUUCAGACAAACUCCGAAUGCCAAUUAAUUUAACUUGGGAGUCAGAACAUGGGUGAUAAGGUCCGUGUUCGAAAGGGAAACAGCCCAGACCACCAGCUAAGGUCCCAAAAUAUAUGUUAAGUGGAAAAGGAUGUGGCGUUGCCCAGACAACUAGGAUGUUGGCUUAGAAGCAGCCAUCAUUUAAAGAGUGCGUAAUAGCUCACUAGUCGAGUGACACUGCGCCGAAAAUGUACCGGGGCUAAACAUAUUACCGAAGCUGUGGAUUGUCCUUUGGACAAUGGUAGGAGAGCGUUCUAAGGGCGUUGAAGCAUGAUCGUAAGGACAUGUGGAGCGCUUAGAAGUGAGAAUGCCGGUGUGAGUAGCGAAAGACGGGUGAGAAUCCCGUCCACCGAUUGACUAAGGUUUCCAGAGGAAGGCUCGUCCGCUCUGGGUUAGUCGGGUCCUAAGCUGAGGCCGACAGGCGUAGGCGAUGGAUAACAGGUUGAUAUUCCUGUACCACCUAUAAUCGUUUUAAUCGAUGGGGGGACGCAGUAGGAUAGGCGAAGCGUGCGAUUGGAUUGCACGUCUAAGCAGUAAGGCUGAGUAUUAGGCAAAUCCGGUACUCGUUAAGGCUGAGCUGUGAUGGGGAGAAGACAUUGAGUCUUCGAGUCGUUGAUUUCACACUGCCGAGAAAAGCCUCUAGAUAGAAAAUAGGUGCCCGUACCGCAAACCGACACAGGUAGUCAAGAUGAGAAUUCUAAGGUGAGCGAGCGAACUCUCGUUAAGGAACUCGGCAAAAUGACCCCGUAACUUCGGGAGAAGGGGUGCUCUUUAGGGUUAACGCCCAGAAGAGCCGCAGUGAAUAGGCCCAAGCGACUGUUUAUCAAAAACACAGGUCUCUGCUAAACCGUAAGGUGAUGUAUAGGGGCUGACGCCUGCCCGGUGCUGGAAGGUUAAGAGGAGUGGUUAGCUUCUGCGAAGCUACGAAUCGAAGCCCCAGUAAACGGCGGCCGUAACUAUAACGGUCCUAAGGUAGCGAAAUUCCUUGUCGGGUAAGUUCCGACCCGCACGAAAGGCGUAACGAUUUGGGCACUGUCUCAACGAGAGACUCGGUGAAAUCAUAGUACCUGUGAAGAUGCAGGUUACCCGCGACAGGACGGAAAGACCCCGUGGAGCUUUACUGUAGCCUGAUAUUGAAAUUCGGCACAGCUUGUACAGGAUAGGUAGGAGCCUUUGAAACGUGAGCGCUAGCUUACGUGGAGGCGCUGGUGGGAUACUACCCUAGCUGUGUUGGCUUUCUAACCCGCACCACUUAUCGUGGUGGGAGACAGUGUCAGGCGGGCAGUUUGACUGGGGCGGUCGCCUCCUAAAAGGUAACGGAGGCGCUCAAAGGUUCCCUCAGAAUGGUUGGAAAUCAUUCAUAGAGUGUAAAGGCAUAAGGGAGCUUGACUGCGAGACCUACAAGUCGAGCAGGGUCGAAAGACGGACUUAGUGAUCCGGUGGUUCCGCAUGGAAGGGCCAUCGCUCAACGGAUAAAAGCUACCCCGGGGAUAACAGGCUUAUCUCCCCCAAGAGUUCACAUCGACGGGGAGGUUUGGCACCUCGAUGUCGGCUCAUCGCAUCCUGGGGCUGUAGUCGGUCCCAAGGGUUGGGCUGUUCGCCCAUUAAAGCGGUACGCGAGCUGGGUUCAGAACGUCGUGAGACAGUUCGGUCCCUAUCCGUCGUGGGCGUAGGAAAUUUGAGAGGAGCUGUCCUUAGUACGAGAGGACCGGGAUGGACAUACCUCUGGUGUACCAGUUGUCGUGCCAACGGCAUAGCUGGGUAGCUAUGUGUGGACGGGAUAAGUGCUGAAAGCAUCUAAGCAUGAAGCCCCCCUCAAGAUGAGAUUUCCCAACUUCGGUUAUAAGAUCCCUCAAAGAUGAUGAGGUUAAUAGGUUCGAGGUGGAAGCAUGGUGACAUGUGGAGCUGACGAAUACUAAUCGAUCGAAGACUUAAUCAA
rnacentral:rRNA from 1 species